AUUGAACGCUGGCGGAAUGCUUUACACAUGCAAGUCGAACGGCAGCACGGACUUAGGUCUGGUGGCGAGUGGCGAACGGGUGAGUAAUGUAUCGGAACGUGCCCAGUCGUGGGGGAUAACGUAGUGAAAAUUACGCUAAUACCGCAUACGAUCUAUGGAUGAAAGCGGGGGAUCGCAAGACCUCGCGCGAUUGGAGCGGCCGAUAUCAGAUUAGGUAGUUGGUGGGGUAAAGGCCCACCAAGCCAACGAUCUGUAGCUGGUCUGAGAGGACGACCAGCCACACUGGAACUGAGACACGGUCCAGACUCCUACGGGAGGCAGCAGUGGGGAAUUUUGGACAAUGGGCGCAAGCCUGAUCCAGCCAUUCCGCGUGCAGGAUGAAGGCCCUCGGGUUGUAAACUGCUUUUGUACAGAACGAAAAGGUUUCUACUAAUACUAGGAGCUCAUGACGGUACUGUAAGAAUAAGCACCGGCUAACUACGUGCCAGCCGCCGCCGUAACAC
rnacentral:rRNA from 1 species